AAAUGAAAUGGUUGCCACCAUUGUCAAACUCACUCACUAACUUGCUUGUGGUUAUCGUCGUCGAGCUGGUGGUUGUGAGUUACAAACCACAAUAUUCUCAGAAGUAAUAUCCCUUUCAUGAUUGAGUAUACUUUGUGUUAAAUUACAGAUAAACAAUGGAUGAAACUAAUCCAGAAGAUAUACCAGAUACCAGAAUGAUUUUUGUAUAUGUUUCUAAACUUGAAAAGUUCGUUAAACAACAAGGAGACGAAAUUGUCUUGCUCAAGUCCGCAUUAGCGGAAGCUUUGAGAAGAAUACGAGUUUUAGAAGAGAAGACCCUCGUCUUGUUAGCUACUCCAAGAUCUAAGAGGGUUAUAACUACUCCCAGACUUAAUGCUGGGUCAGCUUCUGGAGACAAUACCUCUGGCACAUCAACGAGACCCCGACAAUCUUCAUCUCAGUCAUUGUCAAAGAAGCCCUUGUCAGCGAAAAGAAAAACUAGCCUCAGUGGCUUAGCAAUUAAGGAAGAGCCUGAAGAAAGAGAUUCUGCUUUUGAAAAAUUUCAACUCAGGGGUAGAACCAUAAACUUUUAUGCGUGGAAUGGUUACAACGAAUCAUAUUACACUGGUGAAGCUCCAAAUGUGAAACUGCAGCUUGAAUGGGUACAUGGUUAUCGUGGAAAGGACAGUCGUAACAACUUGUACUUUCUACCAUCUAAUGAAGUAAUGUACACCACGGCUGCAGUCGUUGUAAUUUAUGAUUUUAUUACAAAGUCUCAACGACAUUAUACUGAACAUACAGACGAUGUGAAAUGCCUUGCUCUACAUCCAAACAAAGACAUUGCCGCUAGUGGUCAGGUUGCUGGUCAUGCUAAAAAGGAGGGAAAGCCUCACGUUCGAGUGUGGAGAAUUGAUUCCUUAGAAACGUUAAAAGUCGUUGGUUUAGGUUCGUUUCAAAGAGGAUUGUCUUGCAUUGCAUUCUCUGUUGAGGAUAAAGGGGUUAAUAUUGUGUGUGUUGAUGAUGGAAAUGAUCAUUGUAUAACUGUUUGGGAUUGGGAAAACAAAAAGAAAAUAUCUGAAGCAAAGGGUGGUAGCGAGCCUGUAUUGGCCGUCGAUUUUUACCCCAAGGACUCGAAGCGUCUGGUCACGUGUGGCAAGUCUCACAUCGCAUUUUGGAAACUAAAUGGUGACAAUAAAUUGGAAAAGAGAUUGGGUGUUUUUGAGAGGCACUCCAAACCCAAGUACGUGUUAUGUUUUGCUUUUGGUCAGAAUAGUGAAGUAAUUACUGGCGACUCUAAUGGAAACAUUUUCAUUUGGUCAAGUGAGAAAAACCAAACCACUUACGAGAUUAUUGCUGCACACGAGGGACCUAUUUUCUCGAUCGAAACUUCUCAAGAUGGAAUGUUCUUGUCUGGUGGUGGAAGAGAUAGGAAAAUCUACUUGUGGGACUGUAAUUAUAACCAAUCUGAAAAGCAACUUGAGAUUCCCGAAGAGUGUGGGGCUGUGAGAUCCGUGAUAUUUGGUCCAAAACUUAGUGAAGAAAUAUGUGUUCUGAUCGGAACAACAAAGAAUUGCUUGCUGCAAGGAAAAUUGGAGAACGAAAAAAAUCAAUUUACUUUUCUCACCCAGGGUCAUUCCGAAGAAACUUGGGGUCUUUGCGUUCAUCCUACGAAGCCAGUUUAUGUUACAUGCGGUUAUGAUAAAAUGCUGUACAUGUGGAGUGCAGAGACAAGAUGUUUGCUUUGGUCAAAGCAACUCGAGGAUCCCCUUCAAUCAGUUUGCUUUCAUCCUAAUGGCAACAUUCUAGCAGUUGCCACACAGAACAGUAAAUUUAAAGCUUUAGACGCUGAAAGUGGUGUAGAGUUCUUCACUUGUGUUGUUGGCUCCGAGCAACAUGAUUGCGUCCAAUUUUCUCCAGAUGGCUGCUAUUUGGCGAUUGGUUCGCAUGAUAAUUUCAUCUACGUGUUUGCGGUGACUGAGAACGGUAAAAACUACAAGAAAUAUAUCCGUUUUUCCGGUCAUUCCAGUUAUAUCACUCAUUUUGAUUGGUCAAAAGAUAGCCAAUUUAUUCAAAGUAAUUCUGGUGAUUACGAAAUGCUUUAUUGGGAUGUUAAUGAGUGUAAACAAGUGUCGUCGUCAUUUUCUAUGAGAGACACGGAGUGGGACAGUUGGUCUUGCGUUCUAGGGCUCCCUGUGAGAGGAAUGUGGCCUGAAGGCGCAGAUGGGACUGAUAUCAAUUCUUGUAUAAGAUCACAUGAUAAACAAUAUCUUGUUAGUGGGGAUGAUUUUGGAUGCUUGAAUAUAUUUUCUUACCCAUGUCCAAAAUUAAAGUCGAUUCCCAACAUUGCCCGCGGUCACAGCUCACACGUCACAGCGGUUAGAUUCCUAGUCAAGGAUUCCCAUCUUAUUAGCACAGGAGGAAAAGACAAUACCGUCAUGCAAUGGAAACUUGAGAGCUAAAGAAACUGCUGCUUUUAUGAAGUUGAUUUUUGUCCCAUCCACGAUUGUUUACUGACGCAUUUUUCAAACUAUCGCGAAUGAAAUUACUAGAGGAUUUGAACUUAAAAGAAGCAUUUUUUGGAAUAGAUGAUGGGAGCUGAGUUGCUUCUCAAAGGAGUUAAUACAUAUGUAGUCAUUUGGCAUGAGAACUAACAUAGAUUGUUUACAUGCUUUUGCUAAGGAAAUAUUACCUCCAAAACCUCCUCUUGGACUUUGGCAUUUAAUUAGGAAUUCUGCCACACUAAUGAAUUAAAGUCAAAGGAAUUCAAAAUAAAUAAAUCCAUGAGUAUCAAGGAGGAAGAAUUUACAUAUAUCAAAAAAUAAAUUGUAUCCUACUUUUUUGCUAUAAA